rnacentral:rRNA from 1 species
GCUUGAGAGAGCUGGGAGCAAUGAGCUUGGUGGUCUAUCCACUCCUGCGGCUCCCGUGCCGCUGCGCCCUCGCGGCGGCGCCGCGGGCCGCCGCGGCGUCGGUGGUGUCGCUGUCGGCAUCGGCCUCGGCCUCGGCGGCGGACGGCGGGGACGGGGAGCUGACGGCGCGGGAGAGGCGGGAGAGGCGGAGGGAGGCGAGGGAGCUCAAGGCGCGGGACUGGAAGGAGGAGGUGGAGGAGCGGCUCAUCCACGAGCCGGCGCGGCGUCGGAAGAAGCCGCCGAAGCGGACGUGGCGGGAGGAGCUCAACCUCGACUUCCUCGCCGAGCACGGCCCGCAGUGGUGGCUCGUGCGCGUCUCCAUGGCCCCCGGCACCGACUACGUCGACCUCAUCACCAAGGCCGUCGCCCGCCGCUUCUCCGAGGUGUCCUUCAAGAUUUACAACCCAGCAAUCCAAGUGAAGAAGAGGCUGAAAAGUGGUUUGAUCAGUACCAAGUCAAAGCCUCUGCAUCCUGGGCUGGUCUUUCUGUAUUGCACAUUAAACAAGGAGCUUCAUGAUUUUAUCAGAGACACUGAAGGUUGUUAUGGUUUUAUUGGAGCCACAAGAGGAUCUAUUAAAAGGCAGAUUAAGAAGCCUAAACCUAUUCCAGUUGAAGAAGUCGAGUCGAUUAUUAAAAAGGAAAAGGAGGAACAAGAGAAAGCUGACAAAGAAUUUGAAGACUUGGAAAACUGGGAUAAGGGGUCUUUUGGUAAACCCGUUGAAGACUCUGAACUUAUGUUAAUUAAUAAGAUCAAGAAACAGGUCAAGAAAUCAACUACAAAAGGUGCCUCCAGCAACGACACUUUUACGCUCGGUGCCAGUGUUCAUGUUCUCUCCGGGCCUUUUGCAGGCUUCACUGGCUCUCUUCUGGAAGUAAAUCGCAAAAAUAAGAAGGUUACUGUCCAGAUGACACUUUUUGGCAAGGAGAGCUUUGUAGAUCUAGAUUUUGAUCAAAUUGAGGCACUGAAUACUUAAUGCUAGGCACACACCCACUGUAUCAGUAGUUUUGUUUUUCGAAAUAGAAUCAGAAGUUUUAUCAGUUGGGCCCUGGAGAUAUGAAUAAAGCACUUGGGGUAUAUGGAUCUGUUGAAGACCACCGGAUUGGGUGACAAACACAAGAGAAGAGUUAGCCUGUGAGCCAGUAAACAUUAAGCCCCUGGCAGGUGUUUGGAGCGCGGGUUUGCGAACCAGGAUCGGAUCUGUUGAACCUGGGAAAUCGCCGACCUGACCUGACCUCCACUUGGUUGCUGAAGUUCUACCUCGACCUAUAGUUCUAUCAUGUAGAGAGCAAUGUUUCAACACUUUGUAUACUUUUUUAGCACCAUAGUCUAUUCAUUAAUUUCAUAAUUGUGAUCAGUACAUUCGUUUAUCAACCAAUUCAAAUGGCGGAAAAAAGAAGGCCGGUUUUCGUCGGGGGUCAUCAUGUCCAGCAAUCUUGAAGUGUGCUGCUCCAUUUGCUUUGCUUUGCUUUCUGACAGAGUGAGGCCACUUUGGAGAAACAGUUCCAAUCGAGUUGUUUUCAUCAGUGUGCCAUCCUUCAGACCAAAAGGCUUACAGUACAAGCUUCUUGCUUUCCUCCUUGUUCCCUUUUCCUACAGUUUGUGGCAAUGUGCUGAUGAUACUGGAACAAAGCCUGCAACGUCUCCACCUGAACAGAUCUAUCACCUUCACUCCUUUUUCAUGCCGUGCUUUGCAAUGACAUGCAUCGAACCCAAUAUGUUUUCUUUUCAAUCAGUGUUUCCAAACUAUAUUUUUCAGACAAAUUGA